rnacentral:rRNA from 1 species
GAUGAACGCUGGCGGCAUGCUUUACACAUGCAAGUCGAACGGUAACAGGCCUUCGGGUGCUGACGAGUGGCGAACGGGUGAGUAAUGCAUCGGAACGUGCCCAAUCGUGGGGGAUAACGUAGCGAAAGUUACGCUAAUACCGCAUAAGCCCUGAGGGGGAAAGUGGGGGACCGCAAGGCCUCACGCGAAUGGAGCGGCCGAUGUCAGAUUAGCUAGUUGGUGGGGUAAAGGCCCACCAAGGCGACGAUCUGUAGCGGGUCUGAGAGGAUGAUCCGCCACACUGGGACUGAGACACGGCCCAGACUCCUACGGGAGGCAGCAGUGGGGAAUUUUGGACAAUGGGCGCAAGCCUGAUCCAGCCAUGCCGCGUGCGGGACGAAGGCCUCGGUGUAA